UUGACAAAAGUCAGUGGAUUGGGCCAUGCUGACUCUCUCUCACGGAAGAAGUUGACCGAGUUUUGAAAUCAGUGGAACACAACGAUGGGCCAAACAAGCUGUGCAAUCUAAACGGAAACAACACAGGACGUCUUAUUUAAUAAAAGGGGUUGCAGUCUGCUGUGAAGCUUUCAUCCAUGUUUGUGGCAUCAGUAGAACAUGCCUGACUCUCCUCCACCAGUCAUACAAGGAGAAUGGUCUAAUGCCUCCCAUCAAAAAGAGAGCUGGCCCAAGCAAGCAAAGGCAGCAGCGCAGUCAUCAACUACAUGCACCAUUUCUUCACCAACUACAGAGUUGGGGAAACAUAGGUGGACCUGAAUUGUGAUAACUGCAGUGGCUAAAACAAGAACAAGUUUGUGCUCUGGUAUUGUGCCUGGUCGGACCAUGCACAAGCUCCACCACAGUCUGGACCUUCACUUCUUGAUCACAGGCCAUACUAAGUUUGCCCCCGAUAUAGAUAUACCAGAGUGAACACUUUGUUUUGAGAUUGCUGGUAUUGUGAAGGACAUCACCGUGACAGGGGUCAACAUCUCACAUCUGGUUGGACUGGAGGAUGGUACAGUGCUGGUGGACAGUUAUGGCUGUCAACAACGCCUGACUCCGUACUUCAGACUGCUGCCACAAAUCAAGCAGUACCAGCACUUCAGCUUCGAUGCUCUGGUGCCUGGUGUUGUUGUCGCCAAGGAUCGUUUGGACUAUCGAGACCAGGUUUCAGCUAAUGCGCAACACUGACAUCCUUCCUCCCAUAAAUGGUCUGCCUGUACAAGCACCACCUGGACUGAACACAGCUAGAUAAAUGUAUAUUUUUGAGAAAAUCAGGGAGCUUUGAGACAAAGAGGCUAUGGACAUCACAUGCCCUGCACCAAAGUCAAGGGCAGAAAAGAAACAGGCUCUCCGAAUAUUGAUAAUGUGUGUGUGUAACAGUCUAUAAAGUAUGCUAAUGUACUGUUGGGAAGGCAUUUGGGCAGUGGUGUAAAGUACCUCAGUAAAAAUACAUUAAAGUACUACUUAUGUAUUUUUGGUGGUAUCUGUACAUUACUUUACUAUUUAUAAUUUUGGCAAAUUUUACUUUUAUUUCACUACAUUCCGAAAGAAUAUAAUGUACAUUUUUACUCCAUACAUUUUCCCUGACACCCAAAAAUACUCAUUACGUUUUGACACACUUAACAAGAGGAACAUCCCGACCAGGGAUGUUGAUCUGCAUUUGAUCUUGCAGACUUACUAAACACAAAUGCUUCUUUUGUAAAUUAUGUUUGUGUGUCUCUGGCUAUCCGUCAAUGAAAAAAGAAAAGAAAAUUGGGGCGUCUAGUUUAAUAUAAGGAAUUUGAAAUGAUUUAUACGUUAUACAUUUAAGAAAUUCCAUUUUCUUUUGAUACUUAAGUAUUUUUUAAAACAAAUAUUUUUACUCAAGUAGUAUUUUAAAGGGUGACUUUUACUUUUAUUUCAGUCAUUUUUUGUUAAGGUAUCUUUACAUUUACUCAUGUACAGUGACAAGACAAUGUGUGUGAACCCUUUGGAAGGACCUGGAUUUCUGCAUAAAUUAGUCAGAACAUUUGAUCUGAUCUUUAUCUUAGU